GUGCUGCAUCCUCAGCCCGCCGCCAUGUCCGCCUACAAGCUGCUGCUGAUCCGGCACGGCGAGAGCGCAUGGAACCUGGAGAACCGCUUCAGCGGCUGGUACGUCGCCGACCUGAGCCCAGCGGGCCACGAGGAGGCGAAGUGUGGCGGGCAUGCGCUGCGAGAUGCUGGCUAUGAGUUUGACAUCUGCUUCACCUCAGUACAGAAGAGAGCGAUCCGGACCCUCUGGACAGUGCUAGAUGCCAUUGAUCAGAUGUGGCUGCCAGUGGUGAGGACUUGGCGCCUCAAUGAGCGGCACUAUGGGGGUAACUUGAAGCCUGUCAAGCCCAUGCAGUUCCUGGGGGAUGAAGAGAUGGUGCGCAAAGCCAUGGAAGCUGUGGCUGCCCAGGGCAAGGCCAAGAAGUGA